rnacentral:rRNA from 1 species
UAGAAUUCCAGGUGUAGCGGUGAAAUGCGUAGAGAUCUGGAGGAAUACCGAUGGCGAAGGCAGCCAUCUGGCCUAACACUGACGCUGAGGUGCGAAAGCAUGGGGAGCAAACAGGAUUAGAUACCCUGGUAGUCCAUGCCGUAAACGAUGUCUACUAGCCGUUGGGGCCUUUGAGGCUUUAGUGGCGCAGCUAACGCGAUAAGUAGACCGCCUGGGGAGUACGGUCGCAAGACUAAAACUCAAAUGAAUUGACGGGGGCCCGCACAAGCGGUGGAGCAUGUGGUUUAAUUCGAUGCAACGCGAAGAACCUUACCUGGCCUUGACAUAGUAGAAACUUUCCAGAGAUGGAUUGGUGCCNUCGGGAAUCUACAUACAGGUGCUGCAUGGCUGUCGUCAGCUCGUGUCGUGAGAUGUUGGGUUAAGUCCCGCAACGAGCGCAACCCUUUUCCUUACUUGCCAGCAUUUCGGAUGGGAACUUUAAGGAUACUGCCAGUGACAAACUGGAGGAAGGCGGGGACGACUUCAAGUCCUCAUGGCCCUNANGGCCAGGGNUACNCNCGUGNUACAAUGGUCGGUNCAAAGGGUUGCUACCUAGAGCUANGAUNCUAAUCUCAAAAAGCCGAUNGUAGUCCGGAUNGGAGUCUGCAACUCGUUUCCAAGAAGUCGGAAUCGCUAAUAAUCGCGGAUCAGAAUGCCGCGGUGAAUNNGUUCCC